CACGUAGGGGCCAAGCGUUGUCCGGAUUUAUUGGGCGUAAAGAGCUCGUAGGCGGUUCGACAAGUCGGGUGUGAAAACUCCGGGCUCAACCCGGAGACGCCACCCGAUACUGUCGUGACUGGAGUCCGGUAGGGGAGUGGGGAAUUCCUGGUGUAGCGGUGAAAUGCGCAGAUAUCGGGAGGAACACCAGUGGCGAAGGCGACUUCCUGGCCUGUUCUUGACGCUGAGGCGCGAAAGCUAGGGUAGCAAACGGG
rnacentral:rRNA from 1 species